UCUCUCUCAGGUUCCGAGCAAGCCAACACUAGCAGCCAAGCAAUUUAUGAUAACCGGUUCUUGGUGUUGGUUUUACGGGAUCACAGGAGCUAUUUGAAGAACUAUUGCCAGAGUAUCCGGUCUGGUGAUGUGUACAUCCCUCGGGGGUGUUUCUGUCCCUCCCAGCCCAAUCAAUUUUGUCAGAGGGAGACACAGUAACUGUUGGUGACUUGUAAGUUUAUUGGUUUACUAGGAAGCAGCUGGAUUCACAGUUGAUGAUCCUGUUCACACAAUGUUGCCACUUUCUCUGGAGCUUGGACCAGGAGUUUUGGGAAACAUCUUCGAUGGAGUUGAGGAGGCCUUUGAAGACUAUUGUGAUGUCUACAUCCCUCAAGGUGUGUCGUCUGUCCCAGCUCUUGAAAAACAUUGUCCUUGCGAGUUCUAGCUCAUGAUGAUGGUUCGAAUCUACUACUCAACAGAUUGAUCCAUU